GGCCACUCCUGCUCUAUGCCGCCCAUUUCUUCUUCUCUGUCCUGUUGACCUUUCCAUUUCCUGUGUCCUCCCUCUAUCUGCAAUGCAGCAGAUAUUCAUAGAGAGGAAUGAAGGGUGGGAAACCAACCGUCCCUUGACAGUACCCCCUCCCUCACCUUCUGCGGUGACCACAGGAUGUGGCCAGGCUGGUCGCAUGGUACUGUUCUAACAAACACCAAUUAAAGCGGAUUUUCUUGGUGAAGCUUUACUAUGGAUCAGAGCGGUCAAGCGAACUGGGUUCCCUACUACAUGUCAACCAGCAGGUUUCGGUGAGAAAUUUGUGGUAAAAAGUCGCCUCUUACCGGAGAUCAGAGGAGAUCAGCGGAGAUCAGCGGAGAUCAGCGGAGAUCAGCGGAGCUUGCGCCGUCCAUGCAGCUGGCGUGACUUCCCUCAGAGACUGGAGUCAACACACCUGUGGACACACCCCUCUGACUAUCAGUGUCUGUGUCCAGGAACGGCCUGCUGACUGCCAAGGCCGAAAUCCGCCGGGACGCAGACAGAGCAGCGAGACAAGGCGAUAUCUCCAUCGUCAACAUAUUUGCAUUUUUGUAUAAUCAUAUAUUGUUUCUAACUGGAGUUGUCGAGAUUACCCUCUUCCCUCAGCGACAGCUCCAGUGAUGUAAACAGGGACCUCCCAAAUAAAUAGAGGAAGCAUGCGGGCUAGACUUUUAGAACGUGAUUUGGAUCUGUAACUAGAAUUCAGCCAAAAGACAUGUCUCCUC